rnacentral:rRNA from 1 species
UACAGAGGGUGCGAGCGUUAAUCGGAAUUACUGGGCGUAAAGCGUGCGUAGACGGCUAUCUAAGUCGGGUGUGAAAGCCCCGGGCUCAACCUGGGAAUUGCAUUCGAGACUGAAUAGCUAGGGUGCGGUAGAGGGAAGCGGAAUUUCCGGUGUAGCGGUGAAAUGCGUAGAUAUCUGGAGGAACACCGGUGGCGAAGGCGGCAUCCUGGACCGGUAUUGACGCUGAGGCGCGAAAGCCAGGGGAGCAAACGGG